CGCCAAGUUAGCCUAGAGGUAAGGCAUCAGUCUCAGAAACUGACAAUCACAGGUUCGAAUCCUGUACUUGCACCCA
rnacentral:tRNA from 1 species